UACUACGUCAUCCGGAUGCCCAGCCCAUCUGACCUCUGACCCAGACAUGUCGUCAUCCGGAUUCUCAUUUGCAAGCCCAACCCUUUUCCAAACUGACCUCUGACCCCCAUUAAGCCACUUUCAUACCUAGCACCCUUUACCCACUCACCAGACCACGCCCAGCUACUUUCGGCCUUCAUAUCUAGAGAACCAAGCAAGGCACUGAAAAUCCAAGACCACCACUAGAGAGCACUAAUCAAGGUCUAUCAUCAGUUGAAAGAAAACGCUGUCCGCCGGUGGUACCGAUUGUCAGACAAAAACAACGUAAGUUCGGACAGUGCUGAUAUUCUCACCAGUAAGGACUCCUGCGAAAAUGUAAGAACUGAGCACUAUAGCGGAACUCUUUAGCUAGCUGCAGACCAAAAAUGAAGCUCAAACUUCUAUCAGGCUCUGCACUACACUCAGUUGAACUGAUCUUGUGACUGGCGGACCUUCACACAAACGAAAACCAUCACUGUAAAAACAAAACAUAUAUUUUCAGAUAUCAUACUGGAAAUGUUGCUGAGAAUAAACAAUUGCACACAUUGACAGGAAUAACUUUUUUAUCUCAUCCACACUUUUUUUGGCUCGCAUGACUUUGUAUGAUACAAAGUCUCUAGUUACAUAAUUAUUUGUAUUGUGAACAGAGCAGAGUGCAUAAUAAAAAUUAGUGUCUUUUUGUAUACCUGAAAAUGAAAAUGUUCUGGCCACAUU